rnacentral:rRNA from 1 species
UACAGAGGUCCCGAGCGUUGUUCGGAUUCAUUGGGCGUAAAGGGUGCGUAGGUGGCGCCGUAAGUGGGGUGUGAAAUCCCGGGGCUUAACCCCGGGACUGCAUUCCAUACUGCGGUGCUUGAGGACUGGAGAGGAGACUGGAAUUUACGGUGUAGCAGUGAAAUGCGUAGAGAUCGUAAGGAAGACCAGUGGCGAAGGCGGGUCUCUGGACAGUUCCUGACACUGAGGCACGAAGGCCAGGGGAGCAAACGAG